CCUACGGGAGGCAGCAGUAGGGAAUCUUGCACAAUGGGCGAAAGCCUGAUGGAGCAACGCCGCAUGAAGGAUGAAGGCCUUCGGGUUGUAAACUGCUUUUAUAAGCGAGAAAUAUGAUGGUAACUUAUGAAUAAGGAUCGGCUAACUACGUGCCAGCAGCCGCGGUCAUACGUAGGAUCCGAGCAUUAUCCGGAGUGACUGGGUGUAAAGAGUUGCGUAGGUGGCAUAAUAAGUAGCUAGUGAAAUCUGGUGGCUUAACCAUUCAGACUAUUAGCUAAACUGUUAAGCUCGAGACCGUUAGGGGUAACUGGAAUUUCUAGUGUAGGAGUGAAAUCCGUAGAUAUUAGAAGGAACACCAAUAGCGUAGGCAGGUUGCUGGGACGGUUCUGACACUAAGGCACGAAAGCGUAGGGAGCAAACGGGAUUAGAUACCCCUGUAGUC
rnacentral:rRNA from 1 species